UCGCUACAACGGCUUCCUGACGUGGCGAUUUAAUCAUACUGGAGCG
rnacentral:ncRNA from 1 species